GACGAACGCUGGCGGCGUGCUUAACACAUGCAAGUCGAACGGUGAGUCGCUUUCCUUUUUGGUUGGUGAGGAUGAGUGUCGAACGGGUGAGUCACACGUGUGUAACCUGCCCCAUCCUUCUGAUUCACCGCAUGAAAGUGUGGCUACUACUGUAUAUUCUGCACCUGCUUCAUGUAGGGUGUGCUAGAUAUUUUGACUAUGGGUCUUUUCGGUGGGGGCUUGGCUCGCGGGCUCUCAUCGUGUUGGUGGCGUGAUGGCCUACCAACGCGGUGACGGGUACCCGGGCUGAGAGUGUGGAGGGUCACAGUGGGACUGAGACACGGCCUAGACACCUACGGGCGGCAGAAGUGGGGAAGAGAGCACGAUGGGGGCAAGCCUGAUGCAGCGACGCCGCGUGAGGGAUGGAGGCCUGCGGGAUGUGAACCGCUUUCGGCAGUGAAGCGGUCCGGCUCAUUGUGGGUGGGUUGACGGUAGCUUGAGAAGAAGCGCCGGCUAACUACGUG
rnacentral:rRNA from 1 species